rnacentral:pre_miRNA from 1 species
AAUUUCAGCUGAAAAAGUCAUGAACAUAAAAGUUGUAGAACUCAUCAGGACAUACAACUUUUAUUUUGUUUAUUUUUUCAUCCGAUAACGUGAUAGUAACAUUAUUCACAAAAUUUAUGUACCGCUCUUAUAAUUUAUAAAACCAAAUGAGACAUAUGUAAAUUUUGUGAAUAAUGUUACUAUCACUUUGUCGGAUGAAGAAAUGACCAAAAUAAAAGUUAUAGAUCUUGAUGAGUUAUACAAAUUUGUUGUUGAUGACUUUUUCAGUUGACAAC